rnacentral:rRNA from 1 species
CCUACGGGUGGCAGCAGUGAGGAAUAUUGGUCAAUGUGCGUAAGCCUUAACCAGCCAAGUCGCGUGCGGGAUGCAGGUUCUAUGGGUCGUCAACCUCUUUUAUACGGGAAUAAAGUGUGUUACGUGUCCUGUUUUGUAUGUACCUUAUGAAUACGGAUCGGCUAACUCCGUGCCAGCAGCCGCGGUAAUACGGAGAAUCCGAGCGUUAUCCGGAUUUAUUGGGUUUAAAGGGUGCGUAGGCGGCCUUUUAAGUCAGCGGUGAAAGUUUGUGGCUCAACCCUAGAAUUGCCGGUGAAACUGGGAGGCUUGAGGAUGGUUGAGGCAGGCGGAAUGCGUGGUGUAGCGGUGAAAUGCUGAGAUAUCACGCAGAACCCCGAUUGCGAAGGCAGCCUGCCAAGCCAUGACUGACGCUGAUGCACGAAAGCGUGGGGAUCAAACAGGAUUAGAUACUCUUGUAGUC